AGUGUGAUGAAAUUAAUUUGGUCCGUGUUUAUGAAAUCGCAUGAUUUUAUCUAUAUUCAAAUUGCUGAACUAU
rfam:Anopheles stephensi strain SDA-500 unplaced genomic scaffold supercont1.98, whole genome shotgun sequence.